rnacentral:rRNA from 1 species
AGUAGGAUAAGCUAACCGUACUGUUGGUUAUGUACGGCUAAGCAUUGAGGCAGUCCAAAUAGGCAAAUCCGUUUGGACAAUGCUAGGAUGUGAUGGGGAAGCCCUUCGGGGCGAAGUAGCUGAUUUCACACUGUCAAGAAAAGCUUCUAUCGAGUUUAAAGGCGCCCGUACCGUAAACCGACACAGGUGGGUGAGGAGAGUAUCCUAAGGCCAGCGAGAGAACUAUUGUUAAGGAACUCGGCAAAAUGACCCCGUAACUUAGGGAGAAGGGGUGCCUGUCUAUGACAGGCCGCAGAGAAUAGGCCCAAGCGACUGUUUACCAAAAACACAGGUUUCUGCUAAGUCGCAAGACGAUGUAUAGGAGCUGACGCCUGCCCGGUGCUGGAAGGUUAAGGGGAUCUGUUAGAGCAAUCGAAGCAGUGAACUUAAGCCCCAGUAAACGGCGGCCGUAACGAUAACGGUCCUAAGGUAGCGAAAUUCCUUGUCGGGUAAGUUCCGACCCGCACGAAAGGCGUAACGAUUUGGGCACUGUCUCAACAAUAGACUCGGUGAAAUUGUAAUCCCGGUGAAGAUGCCGGGUACCUGCGACAGGACGGAAAGACCCCAUGGAGCUUUACUGUAGCUUGACGUUGGGUCUUGGUACUACAUGUACAGGAUAGGUGGGAGACUAUGAGGCAUGGACGCCAGUCUGUGUGGAGUCAUCCUUGGGAUACCACCCUUGUAGUACUGGGAUCCUAACCAUAGGCCUUGAAUCAGGUCUUGGAACACCGUCAGGUGGGCAGUUUGACUGGGGCGGUCGCCUCCUAAAAAGUAACGGAGGCGCUCAAAGGUUUCCUCAGCACGGUCGGAAAUCGUGCGAAGAGUGUAAAGGCAAAAGGAAGCUUGAUUGCAAGACAUACAGGUCGAGCAAGGACGAAAGUCGGACUUAGUGAUCCGGUGGUACCGCAUGGAAGGGCCAUCGCUCAACGGAUAAAAGCUACCCUGGGGAUAACAGGCUUAUCUCCCCCAAGAGUCCACAUCGACGGGGAGGUUUGGCACCUUGAUGUCGGCUCAUCACAUCCUGGGGCUGUAGUAGGUCCCAAGGGUUGGGCUGUUCGCCCAUUAAAGUGGUACGCGAGCUGGGUUCAGAACGUCGUGAGACAGUUCGGUCCCUAUCCGUCGCAGGAGUAGGAAAUUUGAGAAGACCUGUCCUUAGUACGAGAGGACCGGGAUGGACGUACCUCUGGUGUACCAGUUGUUCUGCCAAGGGCAUGGCUGGGUAGCUAUGUACGGAAUGGAUAAGCGCUGAAAGCAUCUAAGCGCGAAGCCUACUUCAAGAUAAGAUUUCCCACCGUAAGGGUAAGACCCCAGGAAGACUACCUGGUUGAUAGGUCGAAGGUGUAAGUGCAGCAAUGUAUUUAGCUUAUCGAUACUAAUAGGUCGAGGACUUGACC